AGUUUCUCUCUAUAUAUUACUACAGUAGUAGUAAUUGCAUACGGGGCUGCAAAUUUUGACAACUGCAAGCAAAGUUGCCUUUUUUCUUUCACUCUUCUAGACCCUUCACUUUUUCUCCAGUUGCUCCUUUCGCCAUCCAAAGACGUACCUAAAAAACAAGAAGUGAAAGGAAUCAUAUUCUCAUUCUCAUCAAAAGCUCUUUUGUUACUAGUAUAUAUUUUCUGUGUAUACAAGAAUAAAUCCACUCUGAAGCUGAAGUUUUCAUAUACCAUCAAAUUUCUGCUAACUCUCUCUUUUUUUCUCCUCUUCUAUUGAGUCUUUUUAAUUUAGUGAAAUUAAAGACAUGAAUGAGCCACCAAAAUAUGGUUAUCCAUACCCUGCCCAAGGUCAAGGGUAUUAUCAGGGUCCUCCUCCUCCUGUGAUGGCGCCACCAACAUAUGCUGCUCCUCCACCUCAGAAAAACAGAGGUUUUCUUGAAGGAUGCCUAGCAGCUCUGUGUUGUUGUUGCCUGUUGGAUGAGUGUUGCUGUGAUCCCUCUGUAAUCUGUGUCUGGUAAUUGAGGUGUGCCGGCUGCGGAGUUCAUGCUUUGUACCACCAAAUAAGAAUAGUCAUGUAAAAAAGUUCUUUUGGAACAACAGUAUUAUUGGGAGUAAUCUUGUAAUAGUCUUUUUAAAUCUUUAAACUCUUGAGAGAGUUGCAGUUUCAUUAUGUAAACUACAAAACAAAAAUUGGAAUUACAUCUUUUUGGCCCC